rnacentral:pre_miRNA from 1 species
UAGACAGAUUAUUGUAUUCGACUGUAUUCACGGUGUGAAAUAGGGGAUUACACUGUUUUUAAAACGGAAAGUGAAUCAAUUAACAUAAUAGACUCCU